UACGUAGACAGCAAGCGUUGUUCGGAGUUACUGGGCGUAAAGGGUGUGUAGGCGGUUCACUAAGUUCGGUGUGAAAUCUCCCGGCUUAACUGGGAGGGUGCAUUGAAAACUGGUGGGCUUGAGUAUGGGAGAGGUAAGCGGAAUUCCUGGUGUAGCGGUGAAAUGCGUAGAUAUCAGGAGGAACACCUGUGGUGUAGACAGCUUACUGGACCAUCACUGACGCUGAAACACGAAAGCGUGGGUAGCAAACAGG
rnacentral:rRNA from 1 species